rnacentral:lncRNA from 1 species
UUAAUCGAAAAUGAUUAUUUUUAACGUAGGUCAAACCUGCUCAAUACCUAGUCAAACUAGAAAAAUAAGCUCGUUUGAGAUUGAACUCAUUGAAGGCAAAAGUUGCAAAGUCUAUAUUUAACAUAAGACACAUCUACUAUUUUCAUUAGAAAUGUUUACCAUUUACAUGAGCAAAAUCACAUAAAAGUAGACUUUCUAGAAAUAUAAAUAGUUUUUGAGAUUGAACAACCGAAGGUAAAAGUUGUAAAAUCUACAUUUAACAUAAGACAUAUUUAUUAUUUUCAUUAGAAAUGUCCCAUUUAGAUGAGCAAAAUCACAGAAAAGUAGACUUUCUGGAAAUCAAAAUGGUUCUUGAGAUUGAACCUAUUAAACACAAAAGUUGCAAAGUCUACAUUUAACAUAAGACACAUCUACUAUUUUCAUUAGAAAUGUCUACCAUUUACCAAAGUAGACUUUCUGUAAAUCAAAAUGGUUCUUGAGAUUGAACUCAUUAAAGGCAAAAGUUGCAAAGUCUACAUUUAUCAUAAGACAUAUCUACUAUUUUCAUUAGAAAUGUCUACCAUUUAGAUGAGUUAAAUCACACCAAAGUAGACUUUGUGGAAAUCAAAAUGGUUCUUCAGAUUGAACUCAUUAAGGGUAAAAGUUGCAAAGUCUACAUUUAACAUAAGACACAUCUACUAUUUUCAUUAGAAAUGUCUACCAUUUGGAUGAGCAAAAUCACACCAAAGUAGACUUUCUAGAAAUCAAAAUGGUUCUUGAGAUUGAACACAUUGAAUGCAAAAAUUGCAAAGUCUACAUUUAACAUAAGACAUAUCUACUAUUUUCAUUAGAAAUGUCUAUCAUUAACAUAAACUAAAUAAAAAGAAAAGUAGACUUUCUGGAAAUCAAAAUGGCUCUUGUGAUUGAACUCAUUAAAGACAAAAGUUGUAAAAUCUACAUUUAACAUAAGACAUAUUUACAAUUUUCAUUAGAAAUGUCUACCAUUAAGAUAAGCAAAAUCACAGAAAAGUAGAUUUUAUGGAAAUCAAAAUGGUUCUUAAGAUUGAAUUUAUUAAAGACAAAAGUUACAAAGUCUAUAUUUAACAUAUGACACAUCUACUAUUUUCAUUAGAAAUGUCUACCAUUUAGAUGAGCAAAAUCACAUAAAAGUAGACUUUUUGGAAAUAUAAAUAAUUCUUAUGAUUGAACCAACCGAAGAUAAAAGUUGCAAAUUCUACAUUUAACAUAAGACACAACUACUUUUUUCAUGAGAAAUGUCUACCAUUGGGAUGAGCAAAUUCACAUAAAAGUAGACUUUCUGGAAAUUCAUUAUUGAGAUUGUUCUUCAAAGUUGGAUCAAGUACAUUAAGAUGCAACGUCUACUAUUAACAUGAGUUAAGUCUACUAAUAAUAUGAGCUAACUGAUAUGCAAAAGUAGGCUUUCUGAAAGUUACUAUUUAUGGAAAUCAACUUUAAAAGGAAAAGUAAGUUUCCAUUUCGGGGGGAUAUGCUCUAAAAACGAAAGUUACUAUUUAUACAAAUCAACUAUAAAAGGAAAGGUAAGUUUUCAUUUCGAGGGGAUAGUUAUGCUCUAAAAACGAAAAUUACUAUUUAUGGAAAUCUACUAUAAAAGGAAUGGUAAGGUUUCAUUUCGGGGGGAUUCCUUUUCUGAAAAUUCAACACUAAUUGCCACAUGUCGUGACCUCAUUUGUCCUAAGUCACUAUUCUGUCCAUGUCAUUAAAGUUUUUUUUUCCGACCAUUUCAAAACUUUAAAAAAGCAUAGAAAAUAACUUUGGUGUGGGAAAAAUUCAUCGAAAAAUGUCACGGACCACUGGCUAGACCCACUUCACAACUGCGUUUGAAUUUUAGUCAUCGGAAUCACAAUAUGUCUACUAAUGUGGUAUAACUUGUUUGGUAGGUUAUAUGCUAGUGUACAACUUUGUGAACCAACUAUAUACAGGAAGCAAAAUUUUCUAAAAUCUUGUGAAAUAAGAUGUGAUCGGUAUAGUAAAAUACGGCUACGGUAGAAAAAUCACUUUAAUUCGCCAAUGUUUGGGCCCCGAUUGAAGCGGUCAACCCUAUUUACACUUAUGCUUCACUAAGGAGAGCCGUAUCCUCGGGUGGUAAACACCCUCAAAGUUUUACAUGGGUGGUUAUGUCUCAUCUAUGUGAGACAUUAUUGUGUUGAAGAAUCGACCAAACUAGGUCACGAAGAGGUAGGUAAGGUAGUUUUCGUGUGAUAAGUGAAGAUGAAUUAGGGUUGACCGCUUUGAUCGAGCCCCGAACAUUGUUGAAUCCAGUUAAAUUUUAUACCAAAGCCAUGUUUCACUACAACGAUCACAUCAGACGGUCAAUUUUCAUUUUGUGAAUUUUCAUUGAUUCAAUCUCAAGAACAAUUUUAAUUUUCCAGUAUGUCUACAUUUCAAUGAUUUUGCUCAUCUAAAUGGUAGACAAUUCUCAUAAAAAUAGUAGUUGUGUCUUAUGUUAAUUGUAGACUUUGUAACUUUCACCUUCAAUUGAUUCAAUCUCAAGAACAAUUUUAAUUUCCUGAAAUUAUACUUUUAUGUGAUUUUACUCAUCUAAAUGGUAGACAUUUCUUAUGAAAAAAGUAGUUGUGUCUUAUGUUAAAUGUAGAUUUGCAAAUUUUACCGUAUGUUGGUUCAAUCUUAAGAACAAUUUCUAUUUCCAGAAAGUCUAAUUUUAUAUGAUUUUGCUCUUCCAAAUUGUAGAUAUUUCUCAUGAAAAAAGUAGUUUUGUCUUAUGUUAAAUGAAGACUUUGCAACUUUUGCCUUCAAUGUUAAGAACCAUUUUGAUUUCCAGAAUGUCUACUUUUAUGUGAUUUUACUCAUCUAAAUGGUAGACAUUUCUAAUGAAAAUAGUAGAUGUGUCUUAUGUUAAAUGUAGACUUUGCAACUUUUGCUUUUAAUGGGUUCAAUCUCAAGAACCAUUUUGAUUUUCAAAAAGUCUACUUUUAUGUGAUUUGCUCAUCUAAAUGGUAGACAUUUCUAAUGAAAAUAGUAGAUGUGUCUUCUGUUAAAUGUAGACUUUACAACUUUUACCUACACUGGGUUCAAUCUCAAGAACUAUUUAUAUGUCCAGAAAGUCUACUUUUAUGUGAUUUUGCUCAUCUAAAUAGUAGACAUUUCUAAUGAAAAUAGUAGAUGUGUCUUAUGUUAAAUGUAGACUUUGCAACUUUUGCCUUUAAUGGGUUUAAUAUCAAGAACCAGUUUGAUUUCUAGAAAGUUUACUUUGGUGUGAUUUAGCUCAUCUAAAUGGUAGUCAUUUCUAAUGAAAAAAGUAAAUGUGUCUUAUGUUAAAUGUAGACUUUGCAACUUUUGCCUUUUAAUAGGUUCAAUCUCAAGAACCAUUUUGAUUUCCAAAAAGUCUACUUUUCUGCUUUCUGGGAUUUUGCUCAUCUAAAUAGUAAUGUAAUACCCCGAAAAUUUGAUAUUAGUUUCUAAUAUUAUUUGGAACUUUUCGAGUUAGAUGUUAGUUUGUUUUGAGGUUCGAAGGAAGAGCGAAAGUGUUUGGAGGCAUAAUUACCGGAAACGGUUUUAUUGUUUUGAAGGGUCAAGAGUUGACUUUCUAAUCCGUUUGGUUUCUCGAGAAACUUCCUUCACGAAAGUGUUAGAGCACGACGUUAUGAGUUCGUAGACACGUGGCACACGUAAAACGGACUUCAUACGAGGAAGUUAUGGUCAGUGAAAGUUGUGGCUUUUCGGGAGUUUUUAGGAUAAAUAGAAAAGUUUUGGGGGUGGAAACCCUAAAUUUAGAAACUCAACUUUCUUUCUCUCUCCUCCUCCCCGAGAUGCACGGGCUGCCCCAUUUUCACCGGAGAAGAAGUCGGACGUCCGGCCAUCAUUUUGGCCGCCACCGGUCUCGUUAGAUUGGUCUCGUCCUCACCUACCCAGCCGAGUCGGUCUUUGACGCUGGUGACCGGCGUACAAGGUGCAGUGAGGCCCGAAAGCCAUUGCCGCAGGCGGCUUUGACCGAAACCCUAAACCGGCGACCCCCGACGAUGCACCCAGCCUAGUUUGGCUCGUCUCCUCCGUGCAAAGCUUCCUAGGCAAGUGGGUGGCCUCGUCUUGAACUGUAGCAGCAGGAGGCAAAAGGAGUAGUCUUGGCCGGAAGCUGUCAUUUCCGGUGGCGACAGGGUGCAACACAUGGUGAGUUUUGCUCCUCUCUUCCAUCUGUGUGUCGUUGUGCAAAGCAAAUCAACUCAGUUUUGAGUUUUUAAACCAUGAAUUUCAGUUUUGGAGCUCGAAUUUGUGACGGUGUGUUGGAGUAGUUCAAGGUCGAUUCAAAGCUAGUCACAGGUAUAAAGUUUGUUCCUUUUGCUUUGAACUACGAGUUGAAUUCGUUGGGUGUUCAUUUUGCAAUGUUUUCGGAUGGCGCGUGGGGCCCACUCGUCGCCGCUUAUGGUGGUGCGUGGAAGCGCGUCCGGGCAGUGUGGCGGUGUUUGGUUGCUGUGUUAGCUAGUCUAUGUAGUUGAUAGAGUGUUGUUGUGUGAUAAGGCUAAGUGUUGGUUAGGUAGUGCUUCUUAGGUGCUUUGUAAAUCUUGGUUGUUGUUAGGUUGUAAACUUUGAGGUUUGAGCAUAAAGGCAGCAGGGUUAUGUUGUUGAGUGUCCGAUGACCUUGGGAGGUCUCGGAGGAAGGGUUGUCCUCCUUGGGCAAUGUUUAGGCUAAGGUUUGGUAAAUGGUGCAAUGUUAGUUUUGUUCAAGUGGUUACUAAGGUAUUUAAUGGUGUUAAAUAGGUAGCUUGUGGAGUUGAUAAUUAAGCUUGGUUUUUGAGUUUAUUGCGAAGACGCAACGGGAUUUUAGGUGAGUAAAAUCUCACUAAGGUUCACUUUGUGACCUAUUUAUUUAUGAUUAUUAUGAUGAAAAUGUUGUGGAUGAUGAUAAUGUUGAUAGAAAUGAUGAUGAUUAUAAUGAUAGUUAUUAUGAUUAUGUUGAUGAAAAUAUUGUUGAUUUUGAUGAUUGUGAUGAUGAUAAUAAUUUAAAAAUUAUAUUUUCCUUUUUGUUUGUUUUAAAAUAUAUGAGCUUGAUCGCUAACGGCUCAUAGGUAAGAGAAAACUAGUUCUCCUUUUUAAAUGAUCAUUUUUAAUGUUCUAGUGACUAUAAUAUCUUUAGUUCUUGGUAGAUUAUUCUUGUGAGAAAAUCUAUAUGUGUGUAUAUAUAUCUCUUUGUGAAAAUGUAUAUUUAAGUGAGGUGUCGCUUGUCUGGUUCUAUUGAAGUGGUGAUUGUGUGUAUUCAUUGUGAUUAUUGAUGCCUCAGUGGUGAUUGUGUGCAUUAGAUUAUGAGCUUUCGUGGUAGACCGGGAACCAAGCCUUGGCCGGGUGAUUGGUUACAGUCAGUAUAGAGCUCUAGUCUGUUGGUACUUCAUGGGGGAUGACUAUGUGUUGACGAACCCAUGAGUACGUGAUUGUGUAGUUACUUAUGAGGGAUGACUAUGCGUUGACGAACUCAUAAGUAAGGGUUGAGAAAUGAUUGUGUGAUGUUCUUAUAUGUUGUCAUUUAAAAUUCCUUGUUUUAAGUAUUUCCUGAACUAUGCCUUUUUGCAGGAUUUCAUUAUGAAUUGUUUGAUUGUGAAUUGUUGCGUUUCCUUUUAAUUAUUUGUUUCAUUUAUGAUUUUGAGAUAUUAAGAUUUUGAGUUUUAUCAUGCCUAAAGUUUUGAAAUUUUAUCCUUCGAAAAUUGGGGUGUGAUAUAGACAUUUCUAAUGAAAAUAGUAGAUGUGUCUUAUGUUAUAGGAGUGGGUUCGGUUUUGUUCGGUUCGGUUUUCACCUAAAAUUGGAAACCAAACUGAAUAAAAAAUUCGGUUCGGUUCGGUUUGAUUGGACAUUUUUUGAGAACUUGAACUGGACACGGUUUGGUUUGGUUUCGGUUUUUCUACUUUUUUUUUUUUUUUUUUUNNNNNNNNNNNNNNNNNNNNNNNNNNNNNNNNNNNNNNNNNNNNNNNNNNNNNNNNNNNNNNNNNNNNNNNNNNNNNNNNNNNNNNNNNNNNNNNNNNNNNNNNNNNNNNNNNNNNNNNNNNNNNNNNNNNNNNNNNNNNNNNNNNNNNNNNNNNNNNNNNNNNNNNNNNNNNNNNNNNNNNNNNNNNNNNNNNNNNNNNNNNNNNNNNNNNNNNNNNNNNNNNNNNNNNNNNNNNNNNNNNNNNNNNNNNNNNNNNNNNNNNNNNNNNNNNNNNNNNNNNNNNNNNNNNNNNNNNNNNNNNNNNNNNNNNNNNNNNNNNNNNNNNNNNNNNNNNNNNNNNNNNNNNNNNNNNNNNNNNNNNNNNNNNNNNNNNNNNNNNNNNNNNNNNNNNNNNNNNNNNNNNNNNNNNNNNNNNNNNNNNNNNNNNNUUUCAAAUGAAAAUAGUAGAUGUGUCUUAUGUUAAAUAUUGUAGAAUUUGCAAUUUUUGCCUACAAUGGGUUCAAUCUCAAGAACCAUUUGGAUUUCUAGAAAGUCUACUUUUCUUUAAUUUAGCUUAUAUUAAUGGUAGUCAUUUCUAAUCAAAACAGUAAAUGUAUCUUAUGUUAAAUGUAGACUUUGCAACUUUUGCCUUUACUGGGUUCAAUCUCAAUAACCAUUUUGAUUUCCAGAAAGUCUACUUUUCUGGGAUUUUGCUUACCUAAAUAGUAGACAUUUCUAAUGAAAAUAGUAGAUGUGUCUUAUGUUAAAUAUAGACUUUGCACAUUUUGCCUUCAAUGUGUUCAAUCUCAAGAACAAUUUUGAUUUUCAGAAAAUAUACUUUUUUUUUUAAUUUAGCUCAUCUAAAUGGUAGACAUUUCCUAUGAAAAAAGUAGUUAUGUCUUAUGUUAAUUGUAGAGUUUGCAACUUUCACCUUCGAUUGAUUCAAUCUCAAGAAGAAUUUUGAUAUCCAGAAAGUCUACUUUUAUGUGAUUUUUCUCAUCUAAAUGGUACACAUUUCAAAUGAAAAUAGUAGAUGUGUCUUUUGUUAAAUGUGGAAUUUGUAAUUUUUGCCUACAAUGGGUUCAAUCUCAAGAACCAUUUUGAUUUCCAGAAAGUCUACUUUUCUUUUAUUUAGCUUAUGUUAAUGGUAGUCAUUUCUAAUAAAAAUAGUAAAUGUCUCUUAUGUUAAAUGUAGACUUUGCAACUUUUGCCUUUACUGGGUUCAAUCUCAAGAACCAUUUUGAUUUCCAGAAAGUCUACUUUUUUUUUUUAAUUUUAGCUCAUCAUCUAAAUGGUAGACAUUUCUCAUGAAAAAAGUAGUUGUGUCUUAUGUUAAUUGUAGAGUUUGCAACUUUUACCUUCGAUUGAUUCAAUCUCAAGAAGAAUUUUGAUUUACAGAAACUCUACCUUUAUGUAAUUUUGCUCAUCUAAAUGGUAGACAUUUCAAAUGAAAAUAGUAGAUGUGUCUUAUGUUAAAUAUUGUAGAAUUUGCAAUUUUUGCCUACAAUGGGUUCAAUCUCAAGAACCAUUUAGAUUUCUAGAAAGUCUACUUUUCUUUAAUUUAGCUUAUAUUAAUGGUAGUCAUUUCUAAUCAAAAUAGUAAAUGUGUCUUAUGUUAAAUGUAGACUUUGCAACUUUUGCCUUUACUGGGUUCAAUCUCAAUAACCAUUUUGAUUUCCAGAAAGUCUACUUUUCUGGGAUUUUGCUUACCUAAAUAGUAGACAUUUCUAAUGAAAAUAGUAGAUGUGUCUUAUGUUAAAUAUAGACUUUGCACCUUUUGCCUUCAAUGUGUUCAAUCUCAAGAACAAUUUUGAUUUCCAAAAAAUAUACUUUUUUUUUUAAUUUAACUCAUCUAAAUGGUAGACAUUUCUCAUGAAAAAAUUAGUUAUGUCUUAUGUUAAUUGUAGAGUUUGCAACUUUCACCUUCGAUUGAUUCAAUCUCAAGAAAAAUUUUGAUUUCCAGAAAGUCUACUUUUAUGUGAUUUUGCCCAUCUAAAUGGUAGACAUUUCAAAUGAAAAUAGUAGAUGUGUCUUAUGUUAAAUGUAGACUUUACAACUUUUGCCUUUAAUGGGUUCAAUCCCAAGAACCAUUUUGAUUUCCAGAAAAUUUACUUUUCUGCUUUCUGGGAUUUUGCUUAUGUAAAUAGUACACAUUUCUAAUGAAAAUAGUAGAUGUGUCUUAUGUUAAAUGUAGAAUUUGCAACUUUUGCCUACAAUGGGUUCAAUCUCAAAAACCAUUUUAAUUUCCAGAAAGUCUACUUUUCUUGAUUUAGCUUAUGUUAAUGGUAGUCAUUUCUAAUGAAAUUUGUAGAUGUGUCUUUUGUUAAAUGUAGACUUUGCAACUUUUGCUUUUAAUGCGUUCAAUCUCAAGAACCAUUUUAAUUUCCAGAAAGUCUACUUUUCUGUGAUUUUGCUCAUCUAAAUGGUACACAUUUCUAAGAAAAUAGUAGAUGUGUAUUAUGUUAAAUGUAGAAUUUGUAAUUUUUGCCUACAAUGGGUUCAAUUUCAAAAACCAUUUUGAUUUCCAGAAAGUUUACUUUUCUUUAAUUUAGCUUAUGCUAUUGGUAGUCAUUUCUAAUGAAAAUAGUAGAUAUGUUAAAUGUAGAUUUUACAACUUUUGUCUUUAAUGGGUUUAAUCUCAGGAACCAUUUUGAUUUCCAGAAAGUCUACUUUUAUGUGAUUUUGCUCAUCUAAAUGGUAGACAUUUCUAAUGAAAAUAGUAGAUGUGUCUUAUGUUAAAUAUAGACUUUGCACCUUUUGCCUACAAUAGGUUCGAUCUCAAGAACAAUUUUGAUUUCCAGAAAGUCUACUUUUUUUUUAAUUUAGCUCAUUUAAAUGGUAGAUAUUUCUCAUGAAAAAAGUAGUUAUGUCUUAUGUUAAUUGUAGAGAUUGCAACUUUCACCUUCGAUUGAUUCAAUCUCAAGAAGAAUUUUGAUUUCCAGAAAGUCUACUUUUAUGUGAUUUUGCCCAUCUAAAUGGUAGACAUUUCAAAUGAAAAUAGUAGAUGUGUCUUAUGUUAAAUGUAGAAUUUGCAAUUUUUGCCUACAAUGGGUUCAAUUUCAAAACCCAUUUUAAUUUCCAGAAAGUCUAUUUUUCAUUAAUUUAGCUUAUGCUAAUGGUAGUCAUUUCUAAUUAAAAUAGUAGAUAUGUUAAAUGUAGACUUUGCAACUUUUGCAUUUAAUGGGUUCAAUCUCAUGAGUCCAUUUUUUAUUUCCAGAAGUCUACUUUUAUGUGAUUUUGCUCAUCUAAUGGUAGACAUUUCUAAUGAAAAUAGUAGAUGUGUCUUAUAUUAAAUAUAGACUUUGCACAUUUUGCCUUCAAUUUGUUCAAUCGCAAGAACAAUUUUGAUUUCCAGAAAGUCUACUUUUUUAUUAAUUUAGCUCAUUUAAAUGAUAGACAUUUCUCAUGAAAAAAGUAGUUAUGUCUUAUGUUAAUUGUAGAUAUUGCAACUUUCACCUUCGAUUGAUUCAAUCUCAAGAAGAAUUUUGAUUUCCAGAGAGUCUACUUUUUUGUGAUUUUGCCCAUCUAAAUGGUAGACAUUUCAAAUGAAAAUAGUAGAUGUGUCUUAUGUUAAAUGUAGACUUUACAACUUUUGCCUUUAAUGGGUUCAAUCUCAAGAACCAUUUUGAUUUCCAGAAAAUCUACUUUUCUGCUUUCUAGGAUUUUGCUCAUCUAAAUAGUAGACAUUUGUAAUGAAAAUAGUAGAUGUGUCUUAUGUUAAAUGUAGAAUUUGCAACUUUUGCAUACAAUGGGUUCAAUCUCAAGAACCAUUUUGAUUUCCAGAAUGUCUACUUUUCUGUGAUUUUGCUCAUCUAAAUGAUAGAUAUUUCAAAUGAAAAUAGUUGAUGUGUCUUAUGUUAAAUGUAGACUUUGUAACUUUUGCGUUUAAUGAGCUCAAUAUCAAGAACCAUUUUGAUUUCCAGAAAGUCUACUAUGGUGUGAUUUAGCUCAUCCAAAUGGCAGAUAUUUCUAAUGAAAAUAGUAGAUUUGUCUUAUGUUAAAUGUAGACUUUGCAACUUUUGUCUUUAAUGGGUUGAAUCUCAAGAACCAUUUUGAUUUCCAGAAAGUCUACUUUUAAGGGAUUUUGCUCAUCUAAAUGGUAGACAUUUCUAAUGAAAAUAAUAGAUGUGCCUUAUGUUUAAUGUAGACUUUGCAACUUUUGCCUUUAAUAGAUUCAAUCUCAAGAACCAUUUUGAUUUCCAGAAAGUCUACUUUUCUGUGAUUUUGUUUAUCUUAAUGGUAGGUAUAUCUAAUGAAAAUAGUAGAUGUGUCUUAUGUUAAAUGUAGAUUUUACAACUUUUGUCUUUAAUGAGUUCAAUCACAAGAACCAUUUUGAUUUCCAGAAAGUCUACUUUUCUUUGAUUUAGCUUAUGUUAAUGGUAGACAUUUCUAAUGAAAAUAGUAGAUGUGUCUUUUGGUAAAUGUAGAAUUUGAAAUUUUUGCCUACAAUAGGUUCAAUCUCAAGAACCAUUUUGAUUUCCAGAAAAUCUACUUUUCUUUUAUUUAGCUUAUGUUAAUGGUAGUCAUUUGUAAUGAAAAUAGUAGAUGUGUCUUAUGUUAAAUGUAGAUUUUGCAACUUUUGCUUUUACUGGGUUCAAUCUCAAGAACCAUUUUGAUUUCCAGAAAGUCUAUUUUUCUUUGAUUUAGCUUAUGUUAAUGGUAGUCAUUUCUAAUGAAAAUAGUUGAUGUGUCUUAUAUUAAAAUAGUAGAUGGUAGUUAUUUCUAAUGAAAAUAGUAUAUGUCUACCAUUUAAACGAGUAAAUCACAUAAAUGUAGACUUUCUGGAAAUAAAAAUUGUUCUUGAGUUGGAAUCAAUAAUUAAAGCUGAAAGUUGCAAAGUCUACAUUUAACAUAAGACACAACUACUAUUUUUACGAGAAAUGUCUACCAUUUAGAUGAGAAAAAUCACAAAAAAGUAGACUUUCUGAAAAUCAAAAUUGUUCUUGAUAUUGAAUCAAUAACGGAAGGUGAAAGUUGUAAAAUCUACAUUUAACAUAAGACACAACUACUAUUUUCAUGAGAAAUGUCUACCAUUUAGAUGACUAAAAUCACAAAAAAGUAUAUUUUCUGGAAAUCAAUAUUGUUCUUGAGAUUUAAUCAAUUGAAGGUGAAAGUUGCAAAGUUUACAAUUAACAUAAGACACAACUACUAUUUUUAUGAGAAAUGUCUACCAUUUAGAUGAUCAAAAUCACAUAAAAGUAGACUUUCUGGAAAUCAAAAUUCUUCUUGAGAUUGAAUCAAUCGAAGGUGAAAGUUGCAUACUCUACAAUUAACAUAAGACACAUCUACUAUUUUCAUUACAAAUGACUACCAUUAACAUAUGCUAAAUCAAACAAAAGUAAACUUUUUGGAAAUCAAAAUGGUUCUUGAGAUUGAACCCAUUAAAGGCAAAAGUUGCAAAGUCUACAUUAAACAAAAGACACAUAUACUAUUUUCAUUAGAAAUGUCUACCAUUUAGAUGAGCAAAAUUACAUAAAAGUAGACUUUUUGGAAAUCAAAAUGGUUCCUGAGAUUGAACCCAUUAAAGGCAAAAGUUGUAAAGUCUAUAUUUAACAUAAGACACAUCUACUAUUUUCAUUAGAAAUGACUACCAUUAGCAUAAGCUAAAUUAAAGAAAAGUUCACUUUCUGGAAAUCAAAAUAGUUUUUGAGAUUGAACCCAUUGUAGGCAAAAAUUGCAAAUUCUACAUUUAAUAUAUGACACAUCUACUAUUUUCAUUAGAAAUAUCUACCAUUUUGAUAAACCAAAUCACAGAAAAGUAGACUUUCUGGAAUUCAAAAUGGUUCUUGAGAUUGAACCCAUUAAAGGCAAAAGUUGCAAAGUCUACAUUUAACAUAAGACACAUCUACAAAUUUCUUUAGAAAUGACUACCAUUAACAUAAGCUAAAUCAAGAAAAGUAGACUUUCUGGAAAUUAAAAUAGGUUUUUGAGAUUGAACCCAUUGUAAGCAAAAAUUGCAAAUUCUACAUUUAACAAAAGACACAUCUACUAUUUUCGUUAGAAAUGUCUACCAUUAACAUAAGCUAAAUCACAGAAAAGUAGACUUUCUGGAAAUCAAAAUGGUUCUUGUGAUUGAACCCAUUAAAGGCAAAAGUUGCAAAGUCUACAUUAAACAUAAGACACAUCUACUAUUUCAUUAGAAAUGUCUACCAUUAAGAUAAGUAAAAUCACAGAAAAGUAGACUUUCUGGAAAUCAAAAUGGCUACAUGUGUAAAACUAAAGAGCACUCCAACACCUGCAGCAAACGCGGGCAGAUUUCUAGUAAAAGAGAAUACGUAAAGAGAGUUGUGAAUAAUAAAUAUAUAAUAAUUAUAUUAAAUAACAUAUUAUUAUUAGUUUUAGAUAUUAAAGGUAUUUUAGGUAGUUUGUGAUGCGUAUUUAGUAUAAUAUUGAAAUAAAAAAUUAGACGAGUAGUGUAUUAAGUAAAUGGUGUGUAUUAAGAAAUUAAGGGUGUGUAUUUAAAAUUACUUUAAACAAAAAUAGGGUGGUCAAACAUAGAGAAGGUUGGUGACUGUGGUGGGUGCUUGGACAAAGUUGACCGCUGCCACCUCGCAAUUAUCAAAACCGAACAAGUCAGAACUCUACUGCCACUCUCAACCAGACUCUCCGCCCAGGCCCGGAUCUGAGAUUUUUAGACUUGAGUCGAACUUUCAAAAUUGGGCCCUCAAAGUAUAGUAUUCAUUCAAUUUUAUUUUCUAUUUUUAAGAAACACACAGAAAUUUUCACGAACUAAAGUUAUAAACUCAAAAUCUAACAACAAAAAACGUUAUAAAUCCUAUUAAAAAUCUUAUUUAUAUAACAAAUCUCUUAGUUAGGCUGCUCAUUUUUCUAAAAUAGUAACUAAUGAUAGUAAUAUAAUAGGUAAGAUUUUAUAUUCAUUUUCUCUUUUGUAAUCUAAUAUCUCACCCUAAUUGGAUGCUGUUAAUUAUUUUUUAUUGUUUUUAACUAAACUAAUGUGAUCACACAAAGAUAAAAGAAAAUUUUGGGCCCCUUAAGGUUCUGGGCCUUGAGUCCAUCGACUGUUAGGACUCUAUUCAGGUAUGGGUCUGUCUCCGCCAUCUUCAAACCCCCUCCUGCACAUUUCAACUCUCCUCCAACGGCCGUGUAAGUCUCCUCAUUUUCAAUCAACCCAUUUCAUUUUAUGACUUCCAAACAAACAAAAACUGAUCUUGAAUUGAAUUGCUCUAGGCAAGGUUCUGCUGACCGGAGGCUACCUUAUCCUGGACAGACCCAAUGUCGGGCUCGUCCUCACCACCAACGCUCGCUUCUUCGCCAUUGUCAAACAUCUCUACGACCAUGCCAAGCCUGACAGCUGGGCUUGGGUGCGUCUCUCUCUCUCUCNN